UACGUAGGAUCCAAGCGUUGUCCGGAUUUACUGGGUGUAAAGGGUGCGCAGGCGGACUGGUUAGUCAGAGGUGAAAUCCCAUCGCUCAACGAUGGACCUGCCUUUGAUACUGCCAGUCUUGAAUUAGGGAGAGGUUCGUGGAAUUCCGAGUGUAGCAGUGAAAUGUGUAGAUAUCAGGAGGAACACCGAUUGCGAAGGCAGCUCGCUGGGACGUUACUGACGCUGAGACGCGAAAGCGUGGGGAGCAAACAGG
rnacentral:rRNA from 1 species